CAAGGAAUUUUCCCCAAUGGGCGCAAGCCUGAGGGAGCAACGCCGCGUGCAGGACGACGGCCUUCUGGGUUGUAAACUGCUUUUAUACAGGAAUAAAAAGGGCCUGCGGGCUUCAUUGCAUGUACUGUAUGAAUAAGCACCGGCUAACUCCGUGCCAGCAGCCGCGGUAAUACGGAGGGUGCAAGCGUUGUCCGGAUUUAUUGGGUUUAAAGGGUGCGUAGGCGGUUAUUUAAGUCAGUGGUGAAAACCCUGAGCUCAACUGAGGGCUUGCCAUUGAUACUGGAUAACUUGAUUACCGUACAGGUAGGCGGAAUUUAUGGUGUAGCGGUGAAAUGCAUAGAUACCAUAAAGAACACCGAUAGCGAAGGCAGCUUACUGGAGGGUUAAUGACGCUGAUGCACGAAAGCGUGGGUAGCGAACGGGAUUAGAUACCCCCGUAGUCC
rnacentral:rRNA from 1 species